rnacentral:rRNA from 1 species
AUUGAACGCUGGCGGCAGGCUUAACACAUGCAAGUCGAGCGAGCGGCGGACGGGUGAGUAAUGUAUGGGAACUGCCUGAUGGAGGGGGCUAACUACUGGAAACGGUAGCUAAUACCGCAUACUAUCGGAUAACCUAUAUGGGAUUAGCUAGUUGGUGGGGUAAUGGCUCACCAAGGCGAAGAUGCCUAGCUGGUCUGAGAGGAUGAUCGGCCAGACUGGGACUGAGACACGGCCCAGAAGCCUACGGAGGCAGCAGUAGGGAAUAUUGCGCAAUGGGCGCAAGCCUGAUGCAGCAAUGCCGCGUGUGUGAAGAAGGCCCUAGGGUUGUAAAGUACUUUCGGUCGAGAAGCGUUACCGACAGAGAAAGCACCGGCUAACUCCGUGCCAGCAGCCGCGGUAAUUC